GCCGGGGUGGUGGAACGGCAGACACGGAGCACUCAAAAUGCUCUGCCCGCAAGGGCGUGCGGGUUCGAGUCCCGCUCCCGGCA
rnacentral:tRNA from 1 species